UGUGACGGCUGAGACAUGAGAUCUUCA
rnacentral:piRNA from 1 species